rnacentral:lncRNA from 1 species
AUGGCAAGGAGUCCGGUUCAUCUAGCGGACAAGCCGGGGGAGGUUCACGAGGAAAAGACGCGCUCUAAAAGUAUCAAAGAUGGCAAGCGGAGGUGACGGAGAUGCGGUGCCAAGAGUCACCGAACAGAUGAGAAUAGUGAUUGCCGAAGAAGUUGGAAAGGCGAUCGAAAACAGCUUGUCGAACUUCAUUGAUAAAAUCCAAAAUACGGUUUUAUCAGUGGUAGAAGAAAGAAUCAAGAAGCUAGAAGAUAAUUCAAAUCUAGCAAAGGAAAAAUCCGGGGAACGAAAACCUUGUUCAUACAAGGAAUUCAUAGCUUGUAAACCGCCUAUCUAUAAUGGGGAAGUUGAUCCAAUCGUGUGUCAGCGAUGGAUAGGCGAUAUCGAGGGAGUGUUCGAGAGAACACAUUGUGAUGAAAAUGACUACGUAGCUUAUGGUACGGGUCAGUUAAGAGGUCAAGCGAAGGAUUGGUGGGAUAACAAGAAGAAAGAGAUUGGAAACGAAGCGGCUAAGGCCAUGACGUGGGAGGAGUUUAAGACGCCGUUUCUUAAAC